rnacentral:rRNA from 1 species
UGGUGGAGUGAUUUGUCUGGUUAAUUCCGUUAACGAACGAGACCUCGACCUACUAAAUAGUUCAGCGUAAUCUUGAUUAUGCAUGUACUUCUUAGAGGGACUGUCGGUGUCUUUAGCCGAAGGAAGUUCGAGGCAAUAACA